UUUUUUUUUUGCUGGCUCACUUCCUGUGUUGCUGAAACUUUCCAACUUCUUUAAUAAAGCCCCGCCCCCAGCUCACAGCUUUACUUCCUCUUCCGUCUCCACUGUGGCUGUUUCCUCUGUUCGGCGUCUCCCAAACAAAUCAAUACACUUCUUCAAAUCUGCAAACUCCAUUACAAGAAUUGAUGGCUCUGCUAGUUCAGAACUCCGCUGGGAUUCCGCCAUUAUUAGCCACCGGGUCGCUACGUACUUAGCUUUGAGGCCAAGUACUGCUUACUCUGCUGAAAAGGUUGAGGUUUUUUAAUGGACCAGAAUCUUCACCUGGAUGUGUUGAUGGCGAGCUAGACAAUGGAUGAUGGACUUUGAAAACUGCUGUUUUUGUCUUUUUUUGUACAACCACUUAAUAUAUUCACUAAAACUGAAACCACUGCCUCCUGUUUUCAUUCACACCUCAAGUCUCUUUUGAAGGACUCUCUUCUGAUGCCUAACCUUUGUGUUACACCUGACUAAAAUCAUACAAAACAUUAUGGAAGAUUGUGUCACGGACUGAUGAAACCACACUUAAACUUAAACAUUUCCAAAACGGUACAUUUAGCACACAAAUAACACAACCUUCGGUUGUCUGCUAACCUGAAAAUGAGGAGAGGUUUCAUUUUCAGCACCACUGUGACUCCAGGAUAUUUCAAAGGAAUCACUUCAAGAGAGGAAAACUGAUGUUUCGUUAUGACCUGACCAAGGUCCAGAACUAUAGUUGUGAGAAAAAUAUGUGAGACCACCUGAAAUGGGCUGUGGACAAGAGAUGUCUUCACAAUCUGAAAAAUUUAGAGUGUUUGCUUUUGGAUUGAGGGUUGAUACA